UACGUAGGGUGCAAGCGUUGUCCGGAAUUAUUGGGCGUAAAGGGCGCGUAGGCGGCAUGGCAAGUGGAAGGUGAAAUCCCUCGGCUUAACCGAGGAACUGCCCUCCAAACUGCUUUGCUUGAGGCCGGGAGAGGCGAGUGGAAUUCCCAGUGUAGCGGUGAAAUGCGUAGAUAUUGGGAGGAACACCAGUGGCGAAGGCGGCUCGCUGGACCGGUUCUGACGCUGAUGCGCGAAAGCGUGGGGAGCAAACGGG
rnacentral:rRNA from 1 species